rnacentral:lncRNA from 1 species
CUCGUCCAUACUUUGUUCUUCUUCACUACGAUAAUCUACAGGUGUAUCAUCAUCACUACACCCCUCAUCGAAUUCAUCCUCCUCAAAAUCAUCCUCAUCGACAUCAUCAUCUAUGUCUCCAUCCAAUAAGAUAUUGUGUUCAAUGUUAAUUUUUUGAGUUCUUUGUCUUAAGACACUGUUAUUUAUUGUUUCUGGAUCAACAUCAUCUCUAUUCAUUGGCCCUAUA